AUUAUUUGAGGCGUCAAAUGACUCAUUACCUCAUAUAACAAACUAUUUUUUUUUAAUAUACUAAAAAUAUAAGUGAAGCAGACUGCGUAUCAAAGAGUAACCAGGCUAUCUGUCCAAGAAGGGUCAAGUCUCAAGGUUUUCUUGUUAUAAGUUUACGAGUUGCAUAUAUUAUUAAAUAUGCAAGACCUUAAAUCCAUCAAGCUUGCGCUCAUGACGAGUUUAUUCAAUAAUAAAUAUUUAAAUGAACUUGAUUUUAUUCAUUCUUCUUUUCAAAUUAAUUUCUUUUAAUCAAAUGCAAUUAUAGUUCUCAUCGAUCCAAUAGAGAAUUAAAAGAAGGAAAGAAAUAUCAAAUAAAAAAAUCGUAAAUAAAUAACUCACAUUGAAAUCUGGAUCAUCAAUGCUUUUUUCAAGAGCUAAACGUUCAAUUUGAGAUGUGAGAGUUUCAUCCUCGGAUUCACUACCAUCAUCGUCAUCAUCAGUCGAAGCAGCCUCAACCUCAAAAAAUU